rnacentral:rRNA from 1 species
UGAAUCAGUGUGUGUGUUAGUGGAAGCGUCUGGAAAGGCGCGCGAUACAGGGUGACAGCCCCGUACACAAAAAUGCACAUGCUGUGAGCUCGAUGAGUAGGGCGGGACACGUGGUAUCCUGUCUGAAUAUGGGGGGACCAUCCUCCAAGGCUAAAUACUCCUGACUGACCGAUAGUGAACCAGUACCGUGAGGGAAAGGCGAAAAGAACCCCGGCGAGGGGAGUGAAAAAGAACCUGAAACCGUGUACGUACAAGCAGUGGGAGCCUCUUUAUGGGGUGACUGCGUACCUUUUGUAUAAUGGGUCAGCGACUUAUAUUCUGUAGCAAGGUUAACCGAAUAGGGGAGCCGAAGGGAAACCGAGUCUUAACUGGGCGUUAAGUUGCAGGGUAUAGACCCGAAACCCGGUGAUCUAGCCAUGGGCAGGUUGAAGGUUGGGUAACACUAACUGGAGGACCGAACCGACUAAUGUUGAAAAAUUAGCGGAUGACUUGUGGCUGGGGGUGAAAGGCCAAUCAAACCGGGAGAUAGCUGGUUCUCCCCGAAAGCUAUUUAGGUAGCGCCUCGUGAAUUCAUCUCCGGGGGUAGAGCACUGUUUCGGCAAGGGGGUCAUCCCGACUUACCAACCCGAUGCAAACUGCGAAUACCGGAGAAUGUUAUCACGGGAGACACACGGCGGGUGCUAACGUCCGUCGUGAAGAGGGAAACAACCCAGACCGCCAGCUAAGGUCCCAAAGUCAUGGUUAAGUGGGAAACGAUGUGGGAAGGCCCAGACAGCCAGGAUGUUGGCUUAGAAGCAGCCAUCAUUUAAAGAAAGCGUAAUAGCUCACUGGUCGAGUCGGCCUGCGCGGAAGAUGUAACGGGGCUAAACCAUG